UAUGCUAGAGCAAUCUUCAGAUGGUCUUUCUGGCAAUUGCGCCAGGCACAGGAACUCAGGUCAUGGGUUUUAACGUUUCUCUUAAACUUUCUAGAAUCUCUCAAAAGCUUGUGUUGCAAGAUUGGGGGUUUUGAUGUUGUGGUUUUGACCAUGGCGGUGCUGUAAUGUUUUGAUUUUUGUUAUCCUCCACCUUUGAACUCGGUAGCUUGAUUGUAUUUAUUCUGUUGCAGAAAUGCUGGUGAGGGAGUGAUGGGCUUUGCUUAAGAGAAGCAGUUCAUCUUCUGAUGCCUGUGGGGGAUUUAAUGUUCUGAUGACUAUGAGAUUGGCCAUUAUUCUUUUGCAUAUAUUAUAGGUUGAUUUAUUGUUGAUAUGUUUGAUUGCCUGCCAUGAAGUUUUAGGUUUAAGAUGAAGAUUGUUAUCCUAUUUAUAUCCUUCUCAAAGUCUCGUUCACUAUUAUCAAUUCUCUGAGUUGAUGUUAUGUGUAACUGUGCAAUUGAUUGCAAGUUGUUUUCAGUAGUCACUGAAGAGACUUUUUUGGAUCUUCUUUUGAAAUUAUAGAUUCCUGGAAAUUAUUUUUUCCCAAUUAAAUCCUUUUGCAUUUCCUGCAUUAUUUACUUUGCACUUUCAUACUUUCCUUACAAGCACUUACAUUUUCUAAAGAGAAACUCUAUAUGGUUUGCAUAUAGUGUCUUAUUUACUGAGCUUUUCCAAGUGUGAGACUCUAGAGCCCAAGCAUUCUCUAUGCAUUGAUAAGUUCUGAUUGGCUUGCAUAUUGUGCAAGUCCACUUUUUUGUGUUACCUGAGUACAAUGUGAUGUCACUAGUAUGAGUUUACAAAUGAAAAUGGGACCGUAGACCAAAUUUUGAGGUCUCAGUUUUGUUCUAUCUGCGUUGUGGAACAUGAACUUUUAACAGGUUCCAAAUUAAUGCAAUUAGGUCCUUGGGUACUGCCGUCAAUACAACAUCAUGAUGCUGUUUCAUUUAUGAUUAAGUUGUUCCCAAUUUUUUCAUUACCUUUAAUUGCCACAUCUUUCUCCAGGUUGCUCCUUAUCAUAUUUUAAGAUGAAACAGUCGUUUGAUUCACCGUCUGCCUGCAUUGUAUUGCUGGUUCCGUUGGCAGUACUGCUGUCAAUAACUCUGGCCUUACUUUACCACUGGCACCUAUCCUAGGAGCUGCUCCUGUGGUACCUCCAGUUGUUGCUCCCUCCGCUUCUUUUCCUGCUCUUGCUGGACUUGGCGCAGGUCUUCAAGUUCCCACUGCUGCUGUGCCAACUAUUGAUACAAUUCGUGUUCCGACUCCCGAGUGAGAGUGUUUAUUACUGAAGGAUAUGUUUGAUCCAAAAGUUGAGACGGAGCCAGAUUUUGAUUUGGAUAUCAAAGAUGUUCAGGAAGAAUGUAACAUAUUUUGUGGAGAAAUGAGUUUAGUGUGCAGCUUUUUUUUUUUUUUUUUUUGUCUUCUAUUUUCCCUUGAUACUUGUCUGUUUUUACGGGAUUCAUUGAGAAGUUAUAGCCCAAUUUGUUAUGGGGUGGGAUAGGUGAAGACUUCCAAGUAUCAUUUAGUGAAUUGGUCAAAGGUUUGCACUCCGAUUAUUGAGAGAGGAUUGGGUAUCAUAAAUUUAAUGAUGUUCAACCGUGCUCUUUUAGAGAAAUAGUUGUGGCGCUAUGGGAGUGAGAGAGAUGACAACAUGACAACAUAAAGAUUAAAAUGUGUUUGCCUUUGUGUUGCCAUAUAUUGUUUUUUAUGCAUUUUUGUUAAUUGUGACAUUAUUAGUGUUGUGAUACAGGACAUUGUGUGUUAGUCUUGGUGGGCUUCAUAUGAAUAUGUAGUGAUCACUAUUUAUGUUAUUUGUGUGUUACACUUGCAAUCUAUUUGCCUAAAUCACAUGAUUGUAAGUACUUAUUACAUGUCAAAAAAUAAAAAUAAAAAUAAAGGACUUAUUAGAUGUCGUCAUGCAUCCUAUUAGUGUAUUUUUAACUUGUUAUUUGCAAACACAUUUGGAUCAGGUCAUGUUUUGGGAUGCCUAUUUGUUUUUGUUUUGUAGUUAAAUUAUUUAUGUUGUCCAAGUGAGAGAUUAUUGUGUUUAUUUUAUUUUUCUUUGGGUGAACUAACAUAGUCAUUUUAUUAUUGGGUCCAUAAUAAGCUGGACCAUUCUGUAAGCACUUGAGAAAACCCGCAUUCUCACCUUAAAUAUAAAUGAAGUUGACCCAUUAUACUUUAUUAGAUCAUCAGUAAAAUUUUAGGAUUAAGGUAUUAGUCUAGCUCCUUCACACACACAUAAACAGGGACGCCAUGAUCAUGUAGAGAGAUGGAAACAUGUCGUCAUAGUAAUGAGGUACGUUUCACUUGUUCUUCACAUGUUAUGUAGA